rnacentral:rRNA from 1 species
UAGGGAAUUUUCCGCAAUGGACGAAAGUCUGACGGAGCAACGCCGCGUGCAGGAGGAAGGCCCUCGGGUCGUAAACUGCUUUUAUUGGUGACGAUUUUGACGGUAGCCAAUGAAUAAGGACCUGCUAACUACGUGCCAGCAGCCGCGGUCAUACGUAGGGUCCAAGCGUUAUCCGGAAUUACUGGGCGUAAAGAGUUGCGUAGGUGGCAUAGUAAGCAAAAAGUGAAAUGACUCGGCUCAACCGAGUAUACAUUUUUUGAACUGCUAAGCUUGAGUAUGAGAGAGGUAGAUGGAAUUUCUAGUGUAGGAGUGAAAUCCGUAGAUAUUAGAAGGAACACCGAUGGCGUAAGCAGUCUACUAGCUCAUUACUGACACUAAGGCACGAAAGCGUGGGGAGCGAACGGGAUUAGAUACCCCCGUAGUCC